UACGAAGGGGGCUAGCGUUGCUCGGAAUCACUGGGCGUAAAGCGCACGUAGGCGGCUUGUUAAGUCAGGGGUGAAAUCCUGGAGCUCAACUCCAGAACUGCCUUUGAUACUGGCGAGCUUGAGUUCGGGAGAGGUGAGUGGAACUGCGAGUGUAGAGGUGAAAUGCGUAGAUAUCUGGAGGAACACCGGUGGCGAAGGCGGCAUCCUGGACCGGCAUUGACGCUGAGGCGCGAAAGCUAGGGGAGCAAACGGG
rnacentral:rRNA from 1 species